AUUAAAAACCGAUGCCCUCUGGGCUUACAGGUGAUUCAUGAUAACUUCUCGAAUCGCAUGGCCUUGCGCCGGCGAUGGUUCAUUCAAAUCUCUUCCCUAUCAACUUUCGAUGCGAAGGUCUUGUCUUCGCAUGGUUACAACGGGUAACGGAGGGUUAGGGCUCGAUCCCGGAGAAGGAGCCUGAGAAACGGCUACUACAUCCAAGGAAGGCAGCAGGCGCGCAAAUUACCCAAUCCCGACACGGGGAGGUAGUGACAAAAAAUACUGAUACAGGGCUCUUUUGGGUCUUGUAAUUGGAAUGAGCACAAUUUAAAUCCCUUAACGAGGAACAAUUGGAGGGCAAGUCUGGUGCCAGCAGCCGCGGUAAUUCCAGCUCCAAUAGCGUAUAUUAAAGUUGUUGUGGUUAAAAAGCUCGUAGUUGAACCUUGGGCCUGGCUGGCCGGUCCCCCUCACCGGGUGCACUGAUCCAGCCGGGUCUUUCCCUCUAUGGAACCCCAUGGCCUUCACUGGUCGUGGC
rnacentral:rRNA from 1 species